rnacentral:lncRNA from 1 species
CUUUUCCGAUCUCACUUUUUCGACGUCUAGAGUUACUGUAUAUGCUACCUUUAGGUAGCAGAGUUGCGCAUCUGUCUUCCAAACGAAACUAGCAACCAUGCAUCGCGGAGAAGCUGCAGCUUGGCCCAAUUCUUGUAUUUCUCUACGCCGCCGAUG